rnacentral:misc_RNA from 1 species
AAAGUGCGAUAAGUGAUGGAAAUUGCAGAAUACUUCGACUCAUCGAAUUUUUGAAUGCAACCUGCACCCGGGGCUCGUCCUCGGGUCUACCUAUUUGAGCUCGGUUCUUUUACAAAAAAUCUUUUCUCUUUAGGGAGAAGGGGAUAUUGAGGCGUUAACUUUCUCCUAGUUUUUUUACCGGGUGAGAGUUAUCCCUUUAAAUGCGAAUUAAGGGUAACAUCCGUCUUCGUACGGCUUCUUCUCUAUAAAUUACCUUAGCUUAUAUUGAUUUUCUAAUCAGUUUAAUAAGGUAACUGGGAUCAAGCUAUGUGGAAGGCGGGCCUUAGAAAAUCAGAACUAGUUCCCUUUAGACAGGGCUAGAAACCAUAUAAAUUCUUUUACACCGACUCAAAUUAGGUAG